rnacentral:rRNA from 1 species
AAUAGAUACCCCGGUAGUCCACGCCGUAAACGAUGUCGACUUGGAGGUUGUUCCCUUGAGGAGUGGCUUCCGGAGCUAACGCGUUAAGUCGACCGCCUGGGGAGUACGGCCGCAAGGUUAAAACUCAAAUGAAUUGACGGGGGCCCGCACAAGCGGUGGAGCAUGUGGUUUAAUUCGAUGCAACGCGAAGAACCUUACCUACUCUUGACAUCCAGAGAACUUAGCAGAGAUGCUUUGGUGCCUUCGGGAACUCUGAGACAGGUGCUGCAUGGCUGUCGUCAGCUCGUGUUGUGAAAUGUUGGGUUAAGUCCCGCAACGAGCGCAACCCUUAUCCUUUGUUGCCAGCGGUUUCGGCCGGGAACUCAAAGGAGACUGCCAGUGAUAAACUGGAGGAAGGUGGGGAUGACGUCAAGUCAUCAUGGCCCUUACGAGUAGGGCUACACACGUGCUACAAUGGCGUAUACAAAGAGAAGCGACCUCGCGAGAGCAAGCGGACCUCAUAAAGUACGUCGUAGUCCGGAUUGGAGU